UGAUGGGGUAGAGGCGCAGUUAGCCACAAGUAGCUUCAGUAAGCAAUUAAGGUAUAGUUUGAUUUGAAGUAAACAGGGUAACUGCCGAAACUCUAGAAGUUCUGUAACUUUUAGAGUUGGGCUAAUACUUAAUAGGUAUUAGACUGUCACUAAAUAUAUCUUUAGUGAAGUGCUAUCUCAUGU
rnacentral:ncRNA from 2 species